rnacentral:rRNA from 1 species
CCUACGGGAGGCAGCAGUCGAGAAUCAUUCACAAUGGGGGAAACCCUGAUGGUGCGACGCCGCGUGGGGGAAUGAAGGUCUUCGGAUUGUAAACCCCUGUCAUGUGGGAGCAAAUUAAAAAGAUAGUACCACACGAGGAAGAGACGGCUAACUCUGUGCCAGCAGCCGCGGUAAUACAGAGGUCUCAAGCGUUGUUCGGAAUCACUGGGCGUAAAGCGUGCGGAGGCUGUUUCGUAAGUCGUGUGUGAAAGGCGCGGGCUCAACCCGCGGACGGCACAUGAUACUGCGAGACUAGAGUAAUGGAGGGGGAACCGGAAUUCUCGGUGUAGCAGUGAAAUGCGUAGAUAUCGAGAGGAACACUCGGGGCGAAGGCGGGUUCCUGGACAUUAACUGACGCUGAGGCACGAAGGCCAGGGGAGCGAAAGGGAUUAGAUACCCUAGUAGUC